GCCUAGGUAGCUUGGAGGGUAGGGGGUCUGGCUUUUAAGCGCUAGUCCGCGGGUUCGAGUCCCGCCCGGGGCG
rnacentral:tRNA from 1 species